GUGACUGGAGUGGCAGCCAUGGGAGUGGAUAAAGGCGAAAAAGAACCUGCAGGAGGCAUGCAAGUGGCUGAGAGGCACACUUACUGCCCCUUCAUGAUUCACCUCUGCACUCAUGUCAUGGGCACGCUCUUAAGAGCUGCUGGCGCCCCACAACUGACCAGGGUGGUGUACUGGAGCCAGGCCCUUUCUGCCUAAGCAGGACACUCAAAGAGGCAGUCUUUGCCCUGCAGCCCUCCACUGGCCCAGCCAACACUCUCUCAGAGCUUAGACAUCUGCUUCUCAGAGCACCCAAACUGACAGGGUGUAUCCAGUAUAUUUGAUUCUGAAGCUAGAGAGACCCAGCUGGCCAUACACAUUGGGGAAUCAUUGACAGAUGGCAGCUGAGAUCUGAGAGCGGUUGACCUCACUUCACAAGGUUGAGUGGAAUUAGGAGGGACAAACUUCUGUGACAGGAGCCUGAGGAGCACCAAACAAAGAGCAAGAGACAUCGGGGAUGCCCACACACAGAGGAAAGGCCACGUGAGCACAUGGCUAGAAGGUGAACAACUACAAGCCAAGGAGAGAUGCCGCAUGGGGAACUAAACCUCUUGACAUCACGAUCUUAAACCUCCAUCCUCCAGAACUGGGUCCACAGGGCAGGCAGAAGGAAUGAAAAACCACUCAUGUGUGGCCAUGGAGCACACUUCUAGAGACUACAGGAUCCUUAGCUAGGUCACCAGCCCAGACAGAAGAAGCUGCUUGUGCAGAACUUCCUACUGCUCAGGACACCAGCCACUUCAGCACUCUGCCAACACUUGUGUCUGGUCAUACUACUAAACGAAAAACACGCGGGGAGCAUCCCUGGAGACCGGAGUGCUGCCAAGGAGCACCAAGGAUGCUGUCAGUCACCAUGAAGUAAGAAAGAGUCAUGGAACUAACUCUCAGAGCCUCUGAAGGAACCAACCCUACUGCCAUCUUGAUUUCAGACUUCCCGCUCCCGACACU
rnacentral:lncRNA from 10 species